UUGCUUUCCUAUUCUUUAAAAAAAAAAAAGAGAAAAACCAUCACAUUUAAACAGAAAAAGACUCAACCUCAGAUUUGGGCGGCUGUGGUUUAGGUGGUAGAGCGGGUUGUCCACUAAUGCCGGCCCACAUGCCGAAGUGUCCUUGGGCAAGACACUGAACCCCAAGUUGCUCCUCAUGGCAGGCUAGCACCUUGCGUGGCAGCUCUGCUGUCAUUAGUGUGUGUGUGUGUGUGUGAGAGAGAAUGGGUGAAUAAGACACAGUGUAUGCGCUUUGUAGAACCGCAGAGGUAAAAAAAAAAAAAAAAAAUUUUAAAAAGCGCUAUGUAAGUGCAGACCAUUUACUUCUGUAUUGUCUUGGACUUGUAUUUUUUUUAGCAGAAAGAAAAUCAAAAUAAAGCCCAUAUAUUGCAUACAUUCAUUAUAUAUAUAUAUAUAUAUAUAUAUACAUAUAUAUAUAUUUGAUACAGAUAAUCUAUAUUCAAAACUUUGAAUAGUUUUGAUAAUUCUAUUUUUAAAGAUAAGAAUAUUUAAAAUAUGCGCAAGACCUCAAAUGUGUAAUUACAGGGAUCCUACAUUGCUUUUCUGAGAAUGAUUAGGGUUUACAAAGUGUUAUUAAAGAAAAGACAGGAAGUGAUUGUACCUUAAGCAUUGAUAAUUUUAUGAUAAAUUUCCCACACAUGCACGAUCAUACACAGAAGCAGAAUGCAAGGUGAAGGCAGGGAUAUUUCACGCAAGUUGAACUGAAUUGUCGCUCCUAUGCGCAUACAUGAGCUAGUGCUUUCGUUAGAACCGCGUUUAAUGGCGUUGCAGGUUCUGCAGAGUAGAUGAGAUCAUGCAGGAGCAAUCCCUGACCUCAGGAAAUAAAGCAGGUCUGGGUCAAAUCCGAAAAAAGUUCAAUAUUACACCCUUAAGUCAGUGGAACAUAACUGAGGCAGGUUAAAACAUUUUAAAUGUUUUUUUUUUUUUUUUUUCCUUUCCAUUGCUGAGUACAUACUGUAAGCAAAUCUAUGGCAGUGCAAAACUUUGCCACAGCUUUCCCCCUUUUGCUUUAUCCCUUGACUUCUCUCUCUCUCUCUCUCUCUCUCUCUCUCUCUCUCUCUCUCUCUCUCUCUCUCUCAAAAGUUUUAGAUGGAGUUCAUCAGCGCCGCAUUACACCAGCUCUACAUGACAGCUGCCUUACUUAUUCAUACUUGUAAAAGAAUUUCAGAUAUUUUUCAUAUCUUCAGUAUAGACAUUGCUGUUUUUAUUCUACCUAUUCAUGUCAUCAUUUAUUAUUUUUAAACAGUGAUAUUUUGUACCCUUUCUUGAAAGAUUUCAGUUUCAGCAAAGUGUAUUCAAAUUCAUAAUGGCAAAUACAGUCCUUGCUUUGUAGCUUGCCUUGUACGCUGGUUUUAAUCAUUAAAAAGCCAGAAAAAGGGGAGGGGUAACAUUAUGCUAUCACAUUAUUUUUAUCUAAAUAUAUUCUUUUUUUUUUUUCUUUUUUCUUUUUUUAAUCUUGUGUACAUAUAUAUAUAUAUUUUUUCAUUUUGGUGGACUGUAGAACAAUGAAGAAGUUUCUUUAUUGUGUAUAAGGUGUCUGUUUCUUUUCUGUACAUGUAUUAAUCUCUUCCUCACCCGCACAUAUGCUUAUGCUCUCAGCAGUUAUGUGUAACACUCUAAAGAAGAUAUGUAACUUGACAUCAUGAGGAAAUGUAUUUUAGUUUCUCCUUUUUAAAACUAUAAUCAGGGUUCAUUAAAAACAGGUAAACGUGAAUCAAAUUGCCUUAGGUGUCUUUUAUUUUUAUUUCUUUUAUUCAAAUGUUGGCUAAAGAUAAAUCAUAGCUGCUUGGUGUGUAUAGACGUGCAAGUCUACUACAUGAACAUGUAACGCUGCAGUCUUUGUCUAUUAGUCCUUGAUGUUCUGUACCUUUCAUAACGAUCAUUUUCAGGUGAUAGUCUCUACUGUUGCUGUGCAAACAAAAAGAUGUGAAGAUUUCAAUCGAGAAAACAAUCAGGAGAUCACAAGUUCAAAUUUGGAGCAAAGUUGCUCUCCGGGUGUCCUGGGUCCAUGAAAGGUAAAUUCCUCGGGACCACAGAUGCUUUGCUUAACUUAAGGCCAAAACUAAUUCAGUCUCGAGUAGGUACUGCAGGUCACGGCCAAAACCAUAGAAGCAACCAUAGAAGACGGUAAAUCCUUGUUUAUUUAUCAUUAGUGUGACAAAUAUACAAAAAUAGAGAACAAAUGGUGAAAAAAAAAAAAAAAAACCUCACAGAACUGUAUGCUUACUGCAGUUACAGUGAGGGAAAAAAGUAUUUGAUCCCCUGCUGAUUUUGUACGUUUGCCCACUGACAAAGAAAUGAUCCGUCUAUAACUUUAAUGGUAGAUUUAUUUGAACAGUGAGAGACAGAAUAACAACAAAAAAAUCCAGAAAAACGC
ensembl:lncRNA